GGAUUAAUUUACUGGUCGUGCUAUUGUACGUACUGGUUUUAUUGAUUCCUCCCUUCUGACGAACUAUGAUGUCAUUAAUUUGGUGUCAUAGGGAAUCAGGACUGUUACUUUGAAAAAAUUAGAGUGUUUAAAGCAGGCAUAAGCUUGAAUACGUUAGCAUGGAAUAAUAGAAUAGGACUU
rnacentral:rRNA from 1 species